rnacentral:lncRNA from 1 species
AACAACAACAACAACAUUAAUGUAACACGAAUAUUGAUGUUAGACAUACCAUAUUUGUGAAGAAGAAGAAGAAGAAAAAGAAGUGAACAAGAGUCCUAAACAUCACCUUCGUAUUUACUUGUUUUUUCAAGAGUUAGGGGAUGAUAUGUCUUUAGGGUUCUCGUUGUUUAUAGAUUUUUGUCAGGGUUAUGUGGGAGUUGUUUUAUUAUUUUCUUUUUAUGUAAGUGAAAUUGAAUGCUACAAGUUAAGCUAUAUGUAUCAGAGUAAACAAUUUCAUUUUUUAAAACAAAACUGAGGUGAAAAGUGGCUUUUAACCCCUU